rnacentral:rRNA from 1 species
GCGUGCUUAACACAUGCAAGUCGAACGAAGCACUUUUGCUGAGACCUUCGGGUGGAUUUAAAAGUGACUGAGUGGCGGACGGGUGAGUAACGCGUGGGUAACCUGCCUCACACAGGGGGAUAACAGUUAGAAAUGACUGCUAAUACCGCAUAAGCGCACGGUCUCGCAUGGGACAGUGUGAAAAACUCCGGUGGUGUGAGAUGGACCCGCGUCUGAUUAGCUAGUUGGUGGGGUAACGGCCUACCAAGGCGACGAUCAGUAGCCGACCUGAGAGGGUGACCGGCCACAUUGGGACUGAGACACGGCCCAAACUCCUACGGGAGGCAGCAGUGGGGAAUAUUGCACAAUGGGGGAAACCCUGAUGCAGCGACGCCGCGUGAUUGAAGAAGUAUUUCGGUAUGUAAAGAUCUAUCAGCAAGGAAGAAAAUGACGGUACUUGACUAAGAAGCCCCGGCUAACUACGUGCCAGCAGCCGCGGUAAUACGUAGGGGGCAAGCGUUAUCCGGAUUUACUGGGUGUAAAGGGAGCGUAGGCGGUCUGGCAAGCCAGAAGUGAAAGCCCGGGGCUUAACCCCGGGACUGCUUUUGGAACUGUUAGACUAGAGUGUCGGAGAGGUAAGUGGAAUUCCUAGUGUAGCGGUGAAAUGCGUAGAUAUUAGGAGGAACACCAGUGGCGAAGGCGGC